GCCUGGCAUGGUGGCGCAUGCCUGUAGUCCCAGCUACUUGGGAGGCUGAGGUAAGAGGAUCACUUGAGCCUGGGAGGCGGAGGUUGCAGUGAGCCAAGAUUGUGCCACUGCACUUCAGCCUGAGCGACAGAGUGAGACCUUGUUUCAA
rnacentral:SRP_RNA from 1 species